rnacentral:rRNA from 1 species
UUAUGGCUCAGAUUGAACGCUGGCGGCGUGCUUAACACAUGCAAGUCGUGCGUGAAAGGACUUCGGUCCGAGUAAAGCGGCGCACGGGUGAGUAACGCGUGGAUGAUCUACCCAUGAGUUAGGAAUAACGGCUGGAAACCGGUCGCUAAUACCAAAUACGCUCCGAUUUCGAACUUCGGGGGGAAAGGUGGCCUCUGCUUGCAAGCUACUGCUCAUGGAUGAGUCCGCGUCCCAUUAGCUAGUUGGUGGGGUAACGGCCCACCAAGGCGACGAUGGGUAGCCGGUCUGAGAGGAUGACCGGCCACACUGGGACUGGAACACGGCCCAGACUCCUACGGGAGGCAGCAGUGGGGAAUAUUGCGCAAUGGGCGAAAGCCUGACGCAGCGACGCCGCGUGAGGGAUGAAGGUCCUCGGAUCGUAAACCUCUGUCAGGAGGGAAGAACCGCCACGGUGCUAAUCAGCCGUGGUCUGACGGUACCUCCAAAGGAAGCACCGGCUAACUCCGUGCCAGCCGCUGC